CCUACGGGAGGCAGCAGUGAGGAAUAUUGGUCAAUGGGCGCUAGCCUGAACCAGCCAAGUAGCGUGAAGGAUGACUGCCCUAUGGGUUGUAAACUUCUCUUAUAUGGGAAUAAAGUGUAGUAUGUAUACUGCUUUGCAUGUACCUUAUGAAUAAGGAUCGGCUAACUCCGUGCCAGCAGCCGCGGUAAUACGGAGGAUCCGAGCGUUAUCCGGAUUUAUUGGGUUUAAAGGGAGCGUAGGCGGGUUGUUAAGUCAGUUGUGAAAGUUUGCGGCUCAACCGUAAAAUUGCAGUUGAUACUGGCAGCCUUGAGUACAGUAGAGGUAGGCGGAAUUCGUGGUGUAGCGGUGAAAUGCUUAGAUAUCACGAAGAACUCCGAUUGCGAAGGCAGCCUGCUGGACUGUAACUGACGCUGAUGCUCGAAAGUGUGGGUAUCAAACAGGAUUAGAUACCCUUGUAGUC
rnacentral:rRNA from 1 species